GGGCUCGUCGUUCAAUGGAUAGGAUGUCUGGUUUCGGCCCGGAUGAUGGGGGUUCGAAUCCUCCCGAGCCCG
rnacentral:tRNA from 1 species